UGACCCCAGGUCAGGCGGGAUCACCUGCUGAGUUUAAGCAUAUCAAUAAGCGGAGGAGAAGAAACUAACGAGGAUUUCCCUAGUAACGGUGAGUGAAUUGGGAACAGCCCUGCCUGAAAAUCGGGCGCUCGCGGCGUCCGA
rnacentral:rRNA from 1 species